ACGCUGGCGGCGUGCUUAACACAUGCAAGUCGAGCGGAAAGGCUCCUUCGGGGGUACUCGAGCGGCGAACGGGUGAGUAACACGUGAGUAAUCUGCCCUUGGCUUUGGGAUAACUACCGGAAACGGUGGCUAAUACCGGAUACGACCACUCCUUGCAUGAGGUGGUGGUGGAAAGUUUUUUCGGCCAGGGAUGUGCUCGCGGCCUAUCAGCUUGUUGGUGGGGUAAUGGCCUACCAAGGCUUCGACGGGUAGCCGGCCUGAGAGGGUGACCGGCCACACUGGGACUGAGACACGGCCCAGACUCCUACGGGAGGCAGCAGUGGGGAAUAUUGGACAAUGGGCGGAAGCCUGAUCCAGCAACGCCGCGUGAGGGAUGACGGCCUUCGGGUUGUAAACCUCUUUCAGUACCGACGAAGCGCCGAUGAUGGUGGUGACGGUAGGUACAGAAGAAGCACCGGCCAACUACGUG
rnacentral:rRNA from 1 species